rnacentral:rRNA from 1 species
AGCAGCCGCGGUAAUUCCAGCUCCAAUAGCGUAUAUUAAAGUUGUUGUGGUUAAAAAGCUCGUAGUUGAACCUUGGGCCUGGCUGGCCGGUCCGCCUCACCGCGUGUACUGGUCCGGCCGGGCCUUUCCCUCUGUGGAACCCCCAUGCCCUUCACUGGGUGUGGUGGGGAAACAGGACUUUUACUGUGAAAAAUUAGAGUGCUCCAGGCAGGCCUAUGCUCGAAUACAUUAGCAUGGAAUAAUAGAAUAGGACGUGUGGUUCUAUUUUGUUGGUUUCUAGGACCGCCGUAAUGAUUAAUAGGGACAGUCGGGGGCAUCAGUAUUCAAUUGUCAGAGGUGAAAUUCUUGGAUUUAUUGAAGACUAACUACUGCGAAAGCAUUUGCCAAGGAUGUUUCAUUAAUCAGGAACGAAAGUUAGGGGAUCGAAGACGAUCAGAUACCGUCGUAGUC